GGGCGAGGUCCGGGGUCCUGGCUGCCAGGGAUCGGGUCAAACUGUGGGGCCCGACUUCUCGCAGGGGCGCGGCCCGGGGACCGGUUUUCGCGCCACCGGUACAGCGAAUCUGUCGUCUCGACUGGGAAUUGUACAGUGCUUCUGAGGAUUAAUACAAAAGAGGCCCUCUGCAGAGUGCUGGCUACCACGCUGCAGACUGUAAGCAGUUGGAAUUUUUACUGAGAUUGUGUGGAAGUCUUGGGAAGAGUGCAGCUGCUGCUCCAGCAGGCCUGGAAGAUAAAGCAUCAAAUUACAGAUGACUCUCAGACCUUGGCAUCUGUGCCAGUUUGAAUGUAUUGUGUCCCCCAAAUGCCAUAUCUUUGAUGUAGUCUUGUGGGGCAGACAUUUUGGUGCUGA